CAGUCGCCACGGUAAUACGGAGGGGGCUAGCGUUGUUCGGAAUUACUGGGCGUAAAGCGCACGUAGGCGGCGAUUUAAGUCAGAGGUGAAAGCCCGGGGCUCAACCCCGGAACUGCCUUUGAAACUAGGUGACUAGAAUCUUGGAGAGGUCAGUGGAAUUCCGAGUGUAGAGGUGAAAUUCGUAGAUAUUCGGAAGAACACCAGUGGCGAAGGCGACUGACUGGACAAGUAUUGACGCUGAGGUGCGAAAGCGUGGGGAGCAAACAGGAUUAGAUACCCCCGUAGUCCCUGUCUCUUAUAA
rnacentral:rRNA from 1 species